rnacentral:rRNA from 1 species
GACGAACGCUGGCGGCGUGCUUAACACAUGCAAGUCGAACGGAAAGGCCUCAUCUUGCUGGGGUACUCGAGUGGCGAACGGGUGAGUAACACGUGGGUGAUCUGCCUUGCACUCUGGGAUAAGCUUGGGAAACUGGGUCUAAUACCGGAUAUGAACUGCCUUUAGUGUGGUGGUUGGAAAGUUUUUUCGGUGCAAGAUGAGCUCGCGGCCUAUCAGCUUGUUGGUGGGGUAAUGGCCUACCAAGGCGUCGACGGGUAGCCGGCCUGAGAGGGUGUACGGCCACAUUGGGACUGAGAUACGACCCAGACUCCUACGGGAGGCAGCAGUGGGGAAUAUUGCACAAGGGGCGGAAGCCUGAUGCAGCGACGCCGCGUGGGGGAUGACGGCCUUCGGGUUGUAAACUCCUUUCGACAGGGACGAAGCUUUUUGUGACGGUACCUGUAGAAGAAGCACCGGCUAACUACGUG